rnacentral:tRNA from 3 species
AUUUAUGUUAGGAUAAUUCAAUAAGAAAGCCGGAAUAGCUCAGUUGGUAG